rnacentral:rRNA from 1 species
UACAGAGGUCUCGAGCGUUAGGCGGAAUCACUGGGCUUAAAGCGUGUGUAGGUGGAUGCCUAAGUACCUUGUGAAAUCCCACGGCUUAACCGUGGAACUGCUUGGUAUACUGGGUGUCUUGAGUCACUCAGGGGCGAGCGGAACAAAUGGUGGAGCGGUGAAAUGCGUAGAUAUCAUUUGGAACGCCAAUGGUGAAAACAGCUCGCUGGGGGUGCACUGACACUGAGACACGAAAGCCCAGGGGAGCGAAACGGG